CCUACGGGCGGCAGCAGUGGGGAAUAUUGCGCAAUGGGCGAAAGCCUGACGCAGCGACGCCGCGUGAGGGAUGAAGGUCUUCGGAUCGUAAACCGCUGUCAGCAGGGAAGAACGGUCACAGUGGUAAUCAGCAGUGAAUGGACGGUACCUGCAAAGGAAGCACCGGCUAACUCCGUGCCAGCAGCCGCGGUAAUACGGAGGGGGCGAGCGUUGUUCGGAGUGACUGGGCGUAAAGAGCACGUAGGCGGUUUGGUAAGUCAGGAGUCAAAGACUCGCGCUCAACUGUAGUAAGGCUAGGGAUACUCUCAUACUAGAGUAUCCGAGAGGUUUGCGGCAUUCCUGGUGUAGCGGUGAAAUGCGUAGAUAUCAGGAG
rnacentral:rRNA from 1 species